GAGUUUGAUCCUGGCUCAGGAUGAACGCUGGCGGCGUGCUUAACACAUGCAAGUCGAACGAAGCACUUUAUUUGAUUUCCUUCGGGACUGAUUAUUUUGUGACUGAGUGGCGGACGGGUGAGUAACGCGUGGGUAACCUGCCUUGUACAGGGGGAUAACAGUUGGAAACGGCUGCUAAUACCGCAUAAGCGCACAGCAUCGCAUGAUGCAGUGUGAAAAACUCCGGUGGUAUAAGAUGGACCCGCGUUGGAUUAGCUAGUUGGUGAGGUAACGGCCCACCAAGGCGACGAUCCAUAGCCGACCUGAGAGGGUGACCGGCCACAUUGGGACUGAGACACGGCCCAAACUCCUACGGGAGGCAGCAGUGGGGAAUAUUGCACAAUGGGGGAAACCCUGAUGCAGCGACGCCGCGUGAACGAAGAAGUAUUUCGGUAUGUAAACCUCUAUCAGCAGGGAAGAUAGUGACGGUACCUGACUAAGAAGCACCGGCUAACUACGUGCCAGCCGCCGCGGUAAUAC
rnacentral:rRNA from 1 species